rnacentral:lncRNA from 10 species
GCUGGAAAAGAAUGAAUGUCACAACUCUCUCCAUUUUACAGACAGUGGCUCCGAAGGGCUUUCAUCACACGCAUCAUCUUGGAGCCCCUCGACCUCUCUGUGAGGCAGGCCCUGCCUUCGUGCUGUUAAUUCUGCCCACCGCGUUUUCCUGUACGGUCCCCUCUGAAAGCUCCACAGCCUUUCCUAUUGAGCUCAAGUGUCCCCUGCUCUUGAGGGUAUACUUGUGUUUUUGCAGGAGAUGGAUGAACUGUGUGGGUGCCCUCAAGGUGCGUGCGACCAUGGAAUGGGAGACUGGAGGAACCCAGGGUGGCCAACCAUGGACCCGGUCCCGGUAUGAGCCAUGAGUCAGCUGAGCCUGAAUGCAAAGACGGAGAGAAGGCCGACCGGAGUCACAACACAGUUCUAAGUCUGUAAAAUCGGAUGGACUGCCAAUCGGAGAAUGAGAGCUGCCCAGCCUGGCCUUACAUUUUUUCAAUUAAUUCAUAAACAGAAAGGGGGAUAUGCAGGGAGCCGAAGGCCCAUGGGAUGUGACCAACGCAGCAUUCCACUGGAGGCUAUAUGAUCCAACAGCAAACUGUUUAUCAUGAAUGCAGGAUGUGAGAAAACUGACGACUGCUCCUGCCGACAGAAGGUUUGCUGGAGGCAAUCACUCCCUGGCGCUGAGGUUAUCUACUGCAACAUUUAGCCUGUUGUUCGAGGAAUGCAGUCUUGCAAGCCUGCUCUAGACUGAGCAGCUGACCCCUUCUUCCACCCCGCUUCUCACUAUCUCUUUUGCCUAAUAAAUAAGGAGGGCUGUAUAAAGCUCAGGGCCCUUGUCCACUAGGGGCAAGGUACCCCCUGACCCCUUCUUCAAAAUAUACUCUUUUGUCUCUUGUCUUUUAUUCCCGUGUUUGCCCCGCUUUGUUCAGUCCCCCUAGGUCCGUGCAGGUUACAGUGGAAUCCGUAUUCACGUGCAUAUUCUGGCUCAUUUCAUACUACAGAAGCAGUGAGGUGAGUUUUGGACAGAAGUCAUGUGGCCUGCAAAGUUAAAAUGUUUAUUAUCUGGCCCUUUAGAGAAAAAAAUUGCUGCCUGGUC